rnacentral:rRNA from 1 species
CUAGGAAUUAUGCGCAAUGGACGAAAGUCUGACGCUGCGACGUCGCGUGGAGGAUGAAGAUCUUAGGAUUGUAAACUCCUUUUAUCUACGAACAAGUUCUGAGUGUAGUAGAUGAAUAAGUGCCUGCUAACCACGUGCCAGAAGCAUCGGUAAUACGUGGGGCACAAGCGUUAUCCGGAUUUACUGGGCGUAAAGAGAUGCGUAGGUGACUUGGCAAGUUCUAUGUUAAAGCCCAAUGCUUACCAUUGGAAUCGCGUAGAAAACUAUCAAGAUUGAGCUAGGUAGGGAAAGGGGGAAUUCCUGGUGGAGCGGUUAAAUGCGUUGAUAUCAGGAGGAACACCAAUAGCGAAGGCACCCUUUUGGACCUAUGCUGACACUAAGGCUCGAAAGCGUGGGGAGC